GACGAACGCUGGCGGCGUGCUUAAUACAUGCAAGUCAACUUGACUUUAGAUAGCAAUAUCGAAAAGUAGGGUGGCGCACGGGUGCGUAACGCGUAGGUAAUCUGCCCUGAGGUCUGACAUAACCCGUCGAAAGGCGGGCUAACAUCAGAUGAUAUAUAAUCACGACAUCGUGGAAAUAUCAAAUCUUCGGAGCCUUGGGAUGAGCCUGCGUCUGAUUAGGUAGUUGGCGGAGGUAAUAGCCCACCAAGCCUACGAUCAGUAGCUGGUCUGAGAGGAUGAUCAGCCACACUGGAACUGAGACACGGUCCA
rnacentral:rRNA from 1 species